rnacentral:lncRNA from 1 species
CGAGCAUCACUUAUAACCCAUCACUUAUGUACUGAGGAGCGAGCCCUUAUUCUAUAAAAGGGACUCCCUCACCACCAUUAGAGAGCAUCGUCGCUUACUAAGCAACCGCCUCGCUGCGAGCAUCAACUCUAGCCCAUCAUUCAUGUAUUGAGGAGCGAGCCCUCAUCUAGUUACUUCGGUCCACACAUGGACUGAAUUUCAAGUUUCUAGCCAAAAGACUUUAUUGACUGAAGACUUGGGGGACUACUAUUUAUACCAUACUUAAGGGCCUCCGUAUUUAGAUCUCGUACAAAUACUCGGAGGACUUAAAUGUAAUUAUGUAAUAAAGGAAGGGGCAACUAUGUAAUAAGUAAGGAGCCCUUAUUUUAUAAAAGGACUCCUCACCCUCACAAUUGGAGGAGGCCAAUUCCUAGGCCUUCUCACCCUCAGAAGCUCUCUCAUCCUAAAUACUCUCAGAAAUACAAUAAUCAGUGUGGACGUAGCCCAAACCUUGGGGUGAACCACGAUACAUCUUGUGUUAUUUACAUUUCUUGCAGAUUCACGGUCGGAUUUACGUUGUUCCAAGACCUCCGGUUUUGUGCAUCAACUGGAGGUAUUAUUUUGAAAUAAAAUAGUACUUGAGGUAUGAAAGUGAAAUGUUUUAAAAAUGUUGUAUGAGGUUGUAAUAGACCUCAAACCUGAGGGGUUACUAUGUAAUUUACCUAUAUAUAAAAUACUGAAACAGUUAUCAACAUACUAACCCCCAAAGUUUAAUGAACACUCAUAGCAUAAUAUGUAAUAGGUUUCCAAAACCCUAACAUGCCAUAAAACCUUUCAUGAAACAUAUCUCAUAUAUAUAGUGUGCUAACUAGUGAUAUCAGUAUUAGUAUUUCUCGGCCCGAAGCCAUUAACAUAUGUCUCCGCCAGCCAUAUAUCUCCCUCAGCCAUAUAUCUCCCUCGCCCGUAGGCAGAACAACGACCAAUAGAUACACACAAAAUCAUUGAACAUAGAUUUUCCAAACAUAGGUACAUAUAUCUCGAAACAUCUUUAUAACAUAUAGUCAUCCAUCAUAUAUACUAUAAAGAAGUGUGUAAAAGCAUUUUCAUAAAUAGUAUAUAGUCAUCCAUCGUAUAUACUACAAAGAACAUCAGUUCGAUAAAAUAUGAUAUUCCAAAAUAUUCUCAGUAAGCAUAAUAUCUCAUAAAAUGUAAUCAUUAAAUCAUACUUUUCAUGUA